AGCAGUCGCCGCGGUAAUACGGAGGGUGCAAGCGUUAAUCGGAAUUACUGGGCGUAAAGCGUGCGCAGGCGGUUAUAUAAGACAGAUGUGAAAUCCCCGGGCUCAACCUGGGAACUGCAUUUGUGACUGUAUAGCUAGAGUACGGCAGAGGGGGAUGGAAUUCCGCGUGUAGCAGUGAAAUGCGUAGAUAUGCGGAGGAACACCGAUGGCGAAGGCAAUCCCCUGGGCCUGUACUGACGCUCAUGCACGAAAGCGUGGGGAGCAAACAGGAUUAGAUACCCCUGUAGUCCCUGUCUCUUAUAA
rnacentral:rRNA from 1 species